AUAAAAUAAAUAAAUAAUAAAAAUAAAGCAUAAAACAAAGAAUGAAAGCUUAAAACAACAACAAAAGAACACAGCUACAAACAACAAAAGAACCCUAACACACUACAACAUUUGUCAAUGUGAUUGCUGAAGCAAGCUGUUAAAAUAUGGUACCCUUCCCCUCCCUGUCUGACAAUAACAGCAAUAUCUAGGCCAAAAAGGUCAAAUUGACAUCAGAUAGGUCAAACAAAUUAGGCCACGGUUACAGUUUGUCAUUGGAGUAUCUAUUGGUUACACAAUUUACUAGAAAAGCAACCAAAUCUCCCUCCAAUAACACCUGUACUAUCUCAGAAAGAAAGGAGCUAUUAGAUAAGCAAAGCCAGGGAGAAUGACAAGAAUGAUCCUUGUUUAUAUGUUUGCUCAAUUAGAGACGACCUGGGGCAUAUUAACAAUAAACAAAACUAUGCUGAAUGAGCACUUCUUAGUAAGAACCAAAUUUAAAAGUCUGAGGGAUAAGCAUGACAGGCAGGGGAAAAAAAAUAAGAUGGUAAAAAUAGCUAUGCGAAGGAUAUGGAAUCUAAAGCUUCACACCACACCGCACCCCCAACACACACUAUAUGUCUUCCAGACAAGCUCUUGUCUGGAAAUAGCACGAGAAUUAUUAUAGCCACUUUUAGUUGUAACAAUCAAGGUAUAUACAGAUUGCAUUCAAUAGAAGUGGAUUCGAAACAAUGGCACAAUGUGUUCUUGAAAACGGCAUUUUCCCACAUAUUAAUAAUGUGAGCUGGACAAGAGUAAUACACAACCCUAAUGCCAAUUGGUAAGUAUUUAGGUUUAAGUCCUAAAAUAUAAAAGUUAAAGCUGAGAAACAGAAAAAAAUAUAUUUACUUGAAAAUUUAUUAUUUGAAGGUAACUAAGGUAAAAGUUUUUAAAGAUGUUAAUGACGAUGAGAGGAAAACUAGUGAGUUAUAACAAAAUUGAUGCUUUCAAUUUUGCCAUUAAUUUUAAAGUUCACUUAAGUUCAACCAAUUAAAUCUUGCAGUCGUUAAUACUCUUCUUUCAGACAACAUUAUUCAUUAUUUGAGAUGGAUCGCACUACAUAAACAUGUAGAUAAUUAGCACUUAUACAGAGAAAAUAUAUAGGUACCAGGAGUAAUAUUCUAGUUUGGAUAAUAUCAGUGUUAAGAGACCAACACUGGUGUUUCUCUAAUAUAAAUAUUCUUUACAAUAACUUUGAAAAACUCCUUUGUAAAUUGACAAUUUUGGUAGAAGUGAAAUGGCAAGGAAUAACAAGAAAAAAAGAUGAAAAAAAUUCUAAUUAAAAAUACAUAGAUGAUUAGUUAGGCUUAUAUUUGCAAACAUUUCACACCUUAGAGACUAUUUGAAACAAUUUUAGUUUUUAGGUUAAAAAAAAUAGACAAAAUUUUUUAAGGCAGCAAAAAAUGCCAUUUUAGACAGGGUACAUGUUAAGCAGUUAGUCAGGUGAGGCACUUAAUAGUGCUUACUUGUGAAAAAUCAUCUACACAUUCAUAUAUAAUGAACUUAUUGUAUACAAUACUCAUGGCAUUCAAAAAAAAAAAAAAGAAUUAAAACUUUAUAUUUAUUAUAUUUGUAUCUGUCACAAGGCUUUUAAAUGACUAUAGUUAAAGACAUAGAGAAGCAUUUACAAACAUUAUUUUCAGAAAUACAGAACAAAUUAAUCCAAAGACAGAGUUUUCGGUGACAUGAAAGACGUGCUUGACAAUAAGUGAAGUGAUGAAAGGUGAUUUCUGAAGCUGCAAUUUAUCACGGUCAUGUCUACAGACAAUGAAUAGGAAGUUGGAGACAUUAAAUAAAAAAAAAUCAGAUUUCUCAGUCUGCCGCUAGACAACAACCACAUGUUUUAUCAUACAAUGCUACUCCAGCUAAAUGCCGUUCAGAUCCAGCAACCAUAAAAAUUAGUUUAGAAUUUAUAUAUCUUUCAAAACUAUUUCUUUAUGUGAUAAAUUAAUUUUUUCUUAUUUAUUUUUUCUUAAAAAGUAAAAAAAAAUGUCAUAAAUACUAACUGAUUGAAAUGUCACAGUGCAGCCGUAACGUACAAGCUUUUGUCAUUAUUAUUUUCAAGCAAAAAAAAAAAAAAA